CGUUAAAAGAUGUCAAGGUGGAAACACUGAUUGGCAGUGCACUGUGAGACCAAAGGUACAGUUUUAUAUUCAUUUCUUUCAGUUUUUUCAAGCAGAAAAUUAAAGUGCUUGAUCAAAUGUAACUGAAAAUUUGUUGAUUUAUGGUAAUCGAAAAAUUGAUGUAAUGCAAUUUAAAAUUUGUUGAUGCAAAGUAACUGAAAUUUUUUUAAUCUAAACAUUAGAUUAUGCACCCUCUUGCCAUAGUUGGCCUCAUAAUCGGAUUGUUGCAUUUUAUAUUCUCCAUCGGGUAAUGCCUGUAGAGCUACUGUAGUUGAGAGGGCGUCAGGUGAACUUGUCUUGGGCCCCAUGCCACACAAUCACCCAGGGCAAGUGGGCACAAGUUUAGCAGCCCAGACUUGUAUAUUUUGGGGUGAAAAAAUAAAGUUGUUGUUGUUGUUGUUGUUCUGGCAUUGGCAAUCGUCAAUGAGGUGCUAACAGAGGAGCUGACAGAUGAUCCUUGCCCCAGUUUGCCAAAGCUAGUAAACCUUACCAAAGCAGCCAACUACCUUUGGCAGCAAUUGAGACCAGUAGAUCCUGUAGACCUUGAGUUUGAAUUGCAGCCUGGGCACAUCCCUGAGAAUUUUCUCUGUGGAGAUAUUAAGUACAUGGGUGUCAUCACCCUAUCUUCAUCAGCAAGCAACAGCUAGAGGUGUUGUGCAGUGCCAGAGGUGUUGGGACAAAGUUUGCUUCCCCUGUACAUGUUGAUCUGGCUGCUACAAGAAGAGAGCUGCGUUACAACCCUCCAAAUUUGAAUGGUUUGAGGGCAUAAACUGUGCAGACUUCAGUGACAAUUGUAUCAGCUGCUGCACGCAAAGAUCUUUAGCCUGUAGUAUCUGUAAAAGAACGGUGAUCGGACAGCAAAGCAGUUGCUGUGAGCCUGCUCCAAACUCUACAGACUGCGAGAUAAUUAACAACCCAAUUGUCAAACAACCUUGUAGCCUUGGAGCCACCAAAUCUUUAAAAGUCAUGAUUAACAAAAGUUCUGUAUUUCACUGUUUGACCAUUCUGCAACAUUACUGCAAGCAUAGCUGCUUCUGGUUAAUUCAUUUGUUGUUUCUGGUCGCCCCAGCUCCCACAGCCUUUGUUGUCCAUAUCAGUUAAUUGCAAUCCAGUCAAGGUACUAUUAAACAUGUCCAGCUUUGAUGUAAUAAAAGCAUGCACCAAAUGCUCUCAAUCAGAUUGACUUGUGUAGUUUCUGAUCUUACCAAC